rnacentral:rRNA from 1 species
UGAGGAAUAUUGGUCAAUGGGCGCAAGCCUGAACCAGCCAUCCCGCGUGAAGGAUGAAUGUACUAUGUAUUGUAAACUUCUUUUCUGCAAAGAGAAAGGGCGCUACGUGUAGCGUUUUGACGGUAUUGCAGGAAUAAGCAUCGGCUAACUCCGUGCCAGCAGCCGCGGUAAUACGGAGGAUGCGAGCGUUAUCCGGAUUCAUUGGGUUUUAAGGGUGAGUAGGCGGAAUAAUAAGUCAGCGGUGAAAGCAUGUGGCUCAACCAUAGAAUUGCCAUUGAUACUGUUAUUCUUAAGUAUAGUUGAAGUAGGCGGAAUGUGUAAUGUAGCGGUGAAAUGCUUAGAUAUUACACAGAACACCAAUUGCGAAGGCAGCUUACUAAGCUGUUACUGACGCUGAGGCACGAAAGCGUGGGGAGCAAACAGG